GACGAACGCUGGCGGCGUGCUUAACACAUGCAAGUCGAGCGGAGCGGCGAACGGGGGAGUAACGCGUGAGUAAUUGCCCCCCUCUCUGGGCUAAGAGUUGGAAACGGCUGCUAAUACCGGAUAGUGGGGGAUGGCUCGCGUUCUAUCUGCUUGUUGGUUGGGUAGUGGUCUACGAAGGCGACGACGGUUAGCCGGCCCGAGAGGGCGACCGGCCACAUUGGGCUGAGAUACGGCCCAAACGCCUACGGGAGGCAUGAGUGGGGAAUAUUGCACAAUGGGGGAACCCCUGAUGCAGCAACGCCGCGUGCGGGAUGACGGCCUUCGGGUUGUAAACCGCUUUCAGCCAUGACGCGGUAGUGGCAGAAGAAGCACCGGCUAACUACGUGCCAGCAGCCGCGGUAAUAC
rnacentral:rRNA from 1 species